AUUGAACGCUGGCGGCAGGCUUAACACAUGCAAGUCGAACGAGUGGCGGACGGGUGAGUAAUGCUUGGGAAUCUUGCUUAUGGAGGGGGAUAACUACGGGAAACUGUAGCCAAUACCGCCCACCUUAGGAUGAGCCCAAGUGGGAUUAGGUAGUUGGUGAGGUAAAGGCUCACCAAGACGACGAUCUCUAGCUGGUCUGAGAGGAUGACCAGCCACACUGGGACUGAGACACGGCCCAGACUCCUACGGGAGGCAGCAGUGGGGAAUAUUGCGCAAUGGGGGCAACCUGACGCAGCCAUGCCGCGUGAGUGAAGAAGGCCUUCGGGUUGUAAAGUUCUUUCAGUAGCGAGGCGUUAACUACAGAAGAAGCACCGGCUAACUCCGUGCCAGCAGCCGCGGUAAUAC
rnacentral:rRNA from 1 species